CUUUAAGUCAAACAGAGCAUUUCACUGCAGGAGUGGAAACUUGCAAGAAGCAUCAUGGCUGCAAGGGUCUGUGGAGUUCUUGCCCUUCUUGUUGUGUUUCUCAGUGGACUGAAUGCAUCAAGACCAGCUGUAAACCAGGAACUAUCCAAUCUUUUCAAUGAGCUGUGGAGGCUGGAUGUGAAUCGUUUAAC